rnacentral:rRNA from 1 species
GAUGAACGCUGGCGGCGUGCCUAAUACAUGCAAGUCGAGCGAACAGACGAGGAGCUUGCUCCUCUGAUGUUAGCGGCGGACGGGUGAGUAACACGUGGAUAACCUACCUAUAAGACUGGGAUAACUUCGGGAAACCGGAGCUAAUACCGGAUAACAUGUUGAACCGCAUGGUUCAACAGUGAAAGACGGUCUUGCUGUCACUUAUAGAUGGAUCCGCGCCGCAUUAGCUAGUUGGUAAGGUAACGGCUUACCAAGGCAACGAUGCGUAGCCGACCUGAGAGGGUGAUCGGCCACACUGGAACUGAGACACGGUCCAGACUCCUACGGGAGGCAACAGUAGGGAAUCUUCCGCAAUGGGCGAAAGCCUGACGGGGCAACGCCGCGUGAGUGAAGAAGGUCUUCGGAUCGUAAAACUCUGUUAUUAGGGAAAAAAAAAUGUGUAAGUAACUAUGCCCGUCUUGACGGUACCUAAGCAAAAAGCCACGGCUAACUACGU